rnacentral:rRNA from 1 species
UACGAAGGGGGCUAGCGUUGCUCGGAAUCACUGGGCGUAAAGCGCACGUAGGCGGAUUGCUAAGUCAGGGGUGAAAUCCUGGAGCUCAACUCCAGAACUGCCUUUGAUACUGGCGAUCUUGAGUCCGGGAGAGGUGAGUGGAACUGCGAGUGUAGAGGUGAAAUUCGUAGAUAUCGGGAGGAACACCAGUGGCGAAGGCGGUCACCUGGACGGAUACUGACGCUGAGGUGCGAAAGCGUGGGGAGCAAACAGG